UACGGAGGGUGCAAGCGUUAUCCGGAUUCACUGGGUUUAAAGGGUGCGUAGGUGGGCUGGUAAGUCAGUGGUGAAAUCUCCGGGCUUAACCCGGAAACUGCCAUUGAUACUACAAGUCUUGAAUGUCGUGGAGGUGAGCGGAAUAUGUCAUGUAGCGGUGAAAUGCUUAGAUAUGACAUAGAACACCAAUUGCGAAGGCAGCUCACUACACGGAUAUUGACACUGAGGCGCGAAAGCGUGGGGAGCAAACAGG
rnacentral:rRNA from 1 species